CCUACGGGAGGCAGCAGUAGGGAAUAUUGCUCAAUGGGGGAAACCCUGAAGCAGCAACGCCGCGUGGAGGAUGAAGGGUUUCGGAUUGUAAAACCCUUUUGUUAGAGUAGAUAAUGACGGUAUCUAACGAAUAAGCACCGGCUAACUCCGUUCCAGCAGCCGCGGUAAUACGGAGGGUGCAACCGUUACUCGGAUUCACUGGGCGUAAAGGGCGCGUAGGCGGGAUAGCAAGUCAGAUGUGAAAUCCUAUGGCUUAACCAUAGAACUGCAGUUGAAACUGUUAUUCUUGAGUAUGGGAGAGGUAGGUGGAAUUCUUGGUGUAGGGGUAAAAUCCGUAGAGAUCAAGAGGAAUACUCAUUGCGAAGGCGACCUGCUAGAACAUAACUGACGCUGAUGCGCGAAAGCGUGGGGAGCAAACAGGAUUAGAUACCCCAGUAGUC
rnacentral:rRNA from 1 species